GUCGAGCGGUAACAUUUCAAAGCUUGCUUUGAAGAUGACGAGCGGCGGACGGGUGAGUAAUGCUUGGGAAUAUGCCUUAUGGUGGGGGACAACAGUUGGAAACGACUGCUAAUACCGCAUAAUGUCUACGGACCAAAGGGGGGGAUCUUCGGACCUCUCGCCAUUUGAUUAGCCCAAGUGAGAUUAGCUAGUUGGUGAGGUAAUGGCUCACCAAGGCGACGAUCUCUAGCUGGUUUGAGAGGAUGAUCAGCCACACUGGGACUGAGACACGGCCCAGACUCCUACGGGAGGCAGCAGUGGGGAAUAUUGCACAAUGGGCGCAAGCCUGAUGCAGCCAUGCCGCGUGUGUGAAGAAGGCCUUCGGGUUGUAAAGCACUUUCAGUAAGGAGGAAAGGGAUGUAGUUAAUAGCUGCAUUCUGUGACGUUACUUACAGAAGAAGCACCGGCUAACUUCGUGCCAGCAGCCGCGGUAAUACGAGGGGUGCAAGCGUUAAUCGGAAUUACUGGGCGUAAAGCGUUCGUAGGCGGUUGAUUAAGCAAGAUGUGAAAGCCCAGGGCUCAACCUUGGAACUGCAUUUUGAACUGGUCAACUAGAGUACUGUAGAGGGUGGUGGAAUUUCCA
rnacentral:rRNA from 1 species